rnacentral:rRNA from 1 species
AUUGAACGCUGGCGGCAUGCCUUACACAUGCAAGUCGAACGGUAACAGGUCUUCGGAUGCUGACGAGUGGCGAACGGGUGAGUAAUACAUCGGAACGUGCCUAGUAGUGGGGGAUAACUACUCGAAAGAGUGGCUAAUACCGCAUGAGAUCUACGGAUGAAAGCAGGGGAUCGCAAGACCUUGUGCUACUAGAGCGGCCGAUGGCAGAGUAGGUAGUUGGUGGGAUAAAAGCUUACCAAGCCGAAGAUCUGUAGCUGGUCUGAGAGGGAGAUGAGCAACAGCGGGACUGAGAAACGGCACAGACUCCUACGGGAGGCAGCAGUGGGGAAUUUUGGACAAUGGGCGAAAGCCUGAUCAAGCAAUGCCGCGUGCAGGAUGAAGGCCUUCGGGUUGUAAACUGCUUUUGUACGGAACGAAAAGCCCCGGGUUAAUACCCUGGGGUCAUGACGGUACCGUAAGAAUAAGCACCGGCUAACUACGUGCCAGCAGCCGCCGUAA